UACGGAGGGGGCUAGCGUUGUUCGGAAUUACUGGGCGUAAAGCGCACGUAGGCGGACCAGCAAGGUUGGGGGUGAAAUCCCGGGGCUCCAACCCCGGAACUGACCUUCAAAACUCCUGGUCUUGAGUUCGAGAGAGGUGAGUGGAAUUCCGAGUGUAGAGGUGAAAUUCGUAGAUAUUCGGAGGAACACCAGUGGCGAAGGCGGCUCACUGGCUCGACACUGACGCUGGAGGUGACGAAAGCCGUGGGGAGCAAACAGGA
rnacentral:rRNA from 1 species